GACGAACGCUGGCGGCGUGCUUAACACAUGCAAGUCGAACGGUAAGGCCCUUCGGGGUAAACGAGUGGCGAACGGUUGAGUAACACGUGGGUGACCUGCCCUGCACUUCGGGAUAAGGCUGGGUAACUGGGUCUAAUCGCGGAGAGGAGCACUGCCUGCAUGGGUGGUGGUGGAAAGCUUUUGCGGUGUGGGAUGGGCCCGCGGUCUAUCAGCUUGGUGGUGGGGUGAUGGCCUACCAAGGCGACGACGGGGAGGCGGACUGAGGGGGUGACCGGGCACACUGGGACUGAGAUACGGCCCAGACACCUACGGGAGGCAGCAGUGGGGAAUAUUGCACAAUGGGCGCAAGCCAGAUGCAGCGACGCCGCGUGAGGGAUGACGGCCUUCGGGUUGUAAACCUCUUUCAGCACCGACGAAGCGCAAGUGACGGUAGGUGCAGAAGAAGGACCGGCCAACUACGUGCCAGCAGCCGCCGUAA
rnacentral:rRNA from 1 species